UACGUAGGGUGCAAGCGUUAAUCGGAAUUACUGGGCGUAAAGCGUGCGCAGGCGGCUAUGUAAGACAGGUGUGAAAUCCCAGGGCUUAACCUUGGAACUGCAUUUGUGACUGCAUAGCUAGAGUACGGUAGAGGGGGAUGGAAUUCCGCGUGUAGCAGUGAAAUGCGUAGAUAUGCGGAGGAACACCGAUGGCGAAGGCAAUCCCCUGGACCUGUACUGACGCUCAUGCACGAAAGCGUGGGGAGCAAACAGG
rnacentral:rRNA from 1 species